GACGAACGCUGGCGGCGUGCUUAACACAUGCAAGUCGAACGGAAAGGCCCUGCUUUUGUGGGGUGCUCGAGUGGCGAACGGGUGAGUAACACGUGAGUAACCUGCCCUUGACUUUGGGAUAACUUCAGGAAACUGGGGCUAAUACCGGAUAGGAGCUCCUGCUGCAUGGUGGGGGUUGGAAAGUUUCGGCGGUUGGGGAUGGACUCGCGGCUUAUCAGCUUGUUGGUGGGGUAGUGGCUUACCAAGGCUUUGACGGGUAGCCGGCCUGAGAGGGUGACCGGCCAGAGUGGGACUGAGAGACGGCACAGAAUCCUACGGGAGGCAGCAGUGGGGAAUAUUGCACAAUGGGCGGAAGCCUGAUGCAGCAACGCCGCGUGCGGGAUGACGGCCUUCGGGUUGUAAACCGAUUUCGCCUGUGACGAAGCGUGAGUGACGGUAAUGGGUAAAGAAGCACCGGCUAACUACGUG
rnacentral:rRNA from 1 species